AGGAUUCCCCUAGUAACUGCGAGUGAAGCGGGAAGAGCUCAAAUUUAAAAUCUGGCGGUCUCCGGCCGUCCGAGUUGUAAUCUAGAGAAGUGCUACCCGCGCCGGACCGUGCAUAAGUCUCCUGGAACGGAGCGUCACAGAGGGUGAGAAUCCCGUCUUUGGCACGGACUCCCGGGGCUUUGUGGUGCGCUCUCGAAGAGUCGAGUUGUUUGGGAAUGCAGCUCAAAAAUGGGUGGUAAACUCCAUCUAAAGCUAAAUAUUGGCGAGAGACCGAUAGCGAACAAGUACCGUGAGGGAAAGAUGAAAAGCACUUUGGAAAGAGAGUUAAACAGUACGUGAAAUUGUUGAAAGGGAAACGCUUGAAGUCAGUCGCGUCGGCCGGGGAUCAACCUUGCACCUCUGCGGGGCGUACUUCCCAGUCGACGGGUCAGCAUCGGUUUCGACCGCCGGAGAAGGGUCAGGGGAAUGUGGCACCUCCGGGUGUGUNAUAGCCCCUGGUCGCAUGCGGCGGUCGGGACCGAGGAACUCAGCGCGCCGCAAGGCCGGGCCCUCGGGCCACGUGCGCGCUUAGGAUGCUGGCGUAAUGGCUUNNNNNNNNNNNNNNNNNNNNACGGACCUAGGAGUGUAACAUGCCUGCGAGUGUUCGGGUGGAAGACCCGUGCGCGCCAUGAAAGUGAUAGUGGAGACCUCUGUCGUGGAGGGCAUCGACGCCCGGACUUGAGCUUCUGCGAGGGAUCCGCGGUGGCGCAUGCAUGUUGGGACCCGAUAGAUGGUGAACUAAGCCUGAAUAGGGUGAAGCCAGAGGCAACUCUGGUGGAGGCUAGUAGCGAUUCAGACGUGCAAAUCGAUGCGUCGCAUUUGGGCAUAGGGGGGCAGGACUAAUCGAACCAUCUAGUCGCUGGUUCCUGCCGGAGUUUCCCUCAGGAUGGCAGGUACUGAGUAUCAGAUUUAUGUGGUGAAGCGAAUGAGUAGGGGCGGUGGGGGUGCAACAACCUUAACGUAUUCUCCCAGUUUAAAUAGGUGAGAACGAGCCGUCGCUUGACUGGACCGCUCGGC
rnacentral:rRNA from 1 species